rnacentral:rRNA from 1 species
GACGAACGCUGGCGGCGUGCUUAACACAUGCAAGUCGAACGGUGAAGCGCCUUCCUUUUUGGUGGGUGUGGAUGAGUGGCGAACGGGUGAGUAACACGUGAGUAACCUGCCCCCUUCUUCUGGAUAACCGCAUGAAAGUGUGGCUAAUACGGGAUAUUCUGGGUCUGUCGCAUGAUGGGUCUGGGACAGAUAUUGUUUCGGUGGGGGAUGGGCUCGCGGCCUAUCAGCUUGUUGGUGGGGUGAUGGCCUACCAAGGCGGUGACGAGUAGCCGGCCUGAGAGGGUGGCUCGGCGAAGUGGGAAGGAGACACGGCCCGGACUCGUACGGGAGGCAGCAGGGGAGCAUCCUGCACGAUGGGCGGAAGCCUGAUGCAGCGACGCCGCGUGAGGGAUGGAGGCCGUCGGGUUGUGAACCUCUUUCGCCAGUGAAGCAGGCCUGCCCAGUCUGUGGGUGGGUUGACGGUAGCUGGAGAAGAAGCGCCGGCUAACUACGUG